UGAAGACUUAUUAUACUAAACACCACAUUUUGCAACACAUGAAUGCUUACGGCGAUAAACGUAGGUAUCAUAUCGGGAUAUUCGACAAAAUCUCUUAUGGCUUCCAAAGCCACUUCAAAGUCAUAGAAUUUCCUCAUGAUAAGACGUGUUAAAUAAGAUGCAACCAUUUCACUGAUCCAUACCGCAGUGGAUGCAUAAAAAGUCAACUUGAAGCUAUACGGUUCUUCCUUGCUAAAGGAAAAAUAAGGAUAAAGAGGUGCAUUUGAACCAAAAUGUAAGAUUAAAGACCAACCUAAAAAGGAAAGCAUACUCACGUUCGAGGCAACACAUUUCACAUAAAAAUUUCGUCCCAUAUUUUUUCGGUACACGACAUACGAAUCCAUACUUUUAGUCAUUAAGACGUUGAGACGGAAAACGGUACGUGACAUUGUUAUCAAAGGGAUCACACUCAUCAUUGUUAAUGAUGAAGCUAUUUGUACGAGGACAAAUUGUUGUGGAGACUCCAACCUUGCAUAGAGAUUUCUAACGUACAC